rnacentral:sRNA from 1 species
CAUAGUGUGCCCUCACGAAGUUCAAGUAGUGUCGUUGUUCUAUGGUUCUAUCUUUUGGUGUAUCGUUACUUCCCGCCAUCUUGAUCCUCGUUAUGGGCAAUUAGCCCAAAUUUUUAAUUUUCAUUCAAGGAUUUAUCAUGGUAACAGGCUCAGUUAAAUGGUUUAACGAUUCAAAAGGUUUUGGUUUCAUCACUCCUGACAACGGCGGCGAAGAUCUAUUCGCACACUUUUCUGCAAUUCAAUCUGCAGGUUUCAAAACUUUGAAAGAAAACCAACGCGUUAGCUUUGAAGUAGCUACUGGCCCUAAAGGCAAACAAGCUGCAAAUAUUCAAAUCAUUGAAUAAUUAAUUGCACGUCCGCAAGGCUGGUUAACGGCCUACCGGAAAAGGGGCCCGGAAUCUCCGGGCUUUUUUUA